UGGAUUAGGCAUGCAAGUCGAACGAGAACCGCUGGGUAACUGGCGGGGAAAGUGGCGAAAGGGGCAGUAAGGCGUGGGUAACGUACCCCCUGGACCGGGAUAGCCACGGGAAACUGUGGGUAAUACCGGGAGACGUAGCUUGGGCGCAUGUCCGGGCUACUAAACGGUCCGCCGCCGGGGGAGCGGCUCACGUGGUAUUAGCUUGUUGGUGGGGUAACGGCCCACCAAGGCUUAGAUGCCUAGCAGGUGUGAGAGCACGACCUGCGCCACUGGCACUGAGACACUGGCCAGACACCUACGGGUGGCUGCAGUCGAGGAUCUUCGGCAAUGGGCGCAAGCCUGACCGAGCGACGCCGCGUGCGCGAUGAAGGCCUUCGGUUGUAAAGCGC
rnacentral:rRNA from 1 species